GAAAUCAUGAUCAAUUCAUACAGUUAGAAAAAGAUUAAACUCGUAUAACAAACUGUUUUUGUUUAUUUAGAAUUCCAACUGUCAGGUGGAGACAUUGUGUGGGCAAAGGUGAAAGGCUGGCCAUACUGGCCUGCUGUGACAAACCUGGGGUCUUUUCAGAAGAGCAUAGAACUAUUGAACGGUCUGUGGUGGAGAAUGUGGAAAGUUUUAGAAAGUGGAUGCUAAAGCUGUGUGUACAGACCACUUGGAAGCUGUAUAACUAUCAGGAAGUACUACCCAGAACGAAAGAAACUAAAGCAACCUGCCAGGGCAUCCCUCUUGUUCAUUAAUGAUG